rnacentral:rRNA from 1 species
UACGGGGGGGGCAAGCGUUGUUCGGAAUUACUGGGCGUAAAGGGCUCGUAGGUGGCCAACUAAGUCAGACGUGAAAUCCCUCGGCUUAACCGGGGAACUGCGUCUGAUACUGGAUGGCUUGAGGUUGGGAGAGGGAUGCGGAAUUCCAGGUGUAGCGGUGAAAUGCGUAGAUAUCAGGAGGAACACCGGUGGCGAAGGCGCACAUCUGGCCCGAUACUGACGCUGAGGCGCGAAAGCUAGGGGAGCAAACAGG